rnacentral:rRNA from 1 species
GACGAACGCUGGCGGCGUGCCUAAUACAUGCCAGUUGAGCGAUGAAGCUUGGUGCUUGCACCAAUUUGAAGAGCAGCGAACGGGUGAGUAACGCGUGGGGAAUCUGCCUUUGAGCGGGGGACAACAUUUGGAAACGAAUGCUAAUACCGCAUAACAACUUUAAACAUAAGUUUUAAGUUUGAAAGAUGCAAUUGCAUCACUCAAAGAUGAUCCCGCGUUGUAUUAGCUAGUUGGUGAGGUAAAGGCUCACCAAGGCGAUGAUACAUAGCCGACCUGAGAGGGUGAUCGGCCACAGUGGGACUGAGACACGGCCCAAACUCCUACGGGAGGCAGCAGUAGGGAAUCUUCGGCAAUGGACGAAAGUCUGACCGAGCAACGCCGCGUGAGUGAAGAAGGUUUUCGGAUCGUAAAACUCUGUUGGUAGAGAAGAACGUUGGUGAGAGUGGAAAGCUCAUCAAGUGACGGUAACUACCCAGAAAGGGACGGCUAACUACGUG